UACGAAGGGGGCUAGCGUUGUUCGGAAUUACUGGGCGUAAAGCGCGCGCAGGUGGUCUUCCAAGUCAGUGGUGAAAGCCCGGAGCUCAACUCCGGAACUGCCAUUGAAACUGUUGGACUUGAGUACGAGAGAGGUGAGUGGAAUUCCCAGUGUAGAGGUGAAAUUCGUAGAUAUUGGGAAGAACACCGGUGGCGAAGGCGGCUCACUGGCUCGUAACUGACGCUCAGGCGCGACAGCGUGGGGGAUCAAACAGG
rnacentral:rRNA from 1 species